rnacentral:rRNA from 1 species
CUACGUGCCAGCAGCCGCGGUAAUACGGAAGGUCCGGGCGUUAUCCGGAUUUAUUGGGUUUAAAGGGAGCGUAGGCCGCCCCUUAAGCGUGUUGUGAAAUGCGGGUGCUCAACAUCCGACUUGCAGCGCGAACUGGGGGGCUUGAGUGCGCCGAAAGUAGGCGGAAUUCGUGGUGUAGCGGUGAAAUGCUUAGAUAUCACGAAGAACUCCGAUUGCGAAGGCAGCUUACUGUAGCGCAACUGACGCUGAUGCUCGAAAGCGUGGGUAUCGAACAGGAUUAGAUACCCUGGUAGUCCACGCGGUAAACGAUGGAUGCUCGUUGUCGGCCUUUAUGGUCGGUGACCAAGCGAAAGCGUUAAGCAUCCCACCUGGGGAGUACGCCGGCAACGGUGAAACUCAAAGGAAUUGACGGGGGCCCGCACAAGCGGUGGAGUAUGUGGUUUAAUUCGACGCAACGCGAAGAACCUUACCAGGUCUUGACAU